UGCAUUCACUAUUGUAAGUCGCUCUGGAUAAGAGCGUCUGCUAAAUGACCAAAA
rfam:Salmo salar isolate Sally breed double haploid chromosome ssa05, whole genome shotgun sequence.